rnacentral:rRNA from 1 species
AGUGAACGCUGGCGGUAGGCCUAACACAUGCAAGUCGAACGGCAGCACAGGAGAGCCUGCUCUCUGGGUGGCGAGUGGCGGACGGGUGAGGAAUACAUCGGAAUCUACUCUGUCGUGGGGGAUAACGUAGGGAAACUUACGCUAAUACCGCAUACGACCUACGGGUGAAAGCAGGGGACCUUCGGGCCUUGCGCGAUUGAAUGAGCCGAUGUCGGAUUAGCUAGUUGUCGGGGAAAAGGCCCACCAAGGCGACGAUCCGUAGCUGGUCUGAGAGGAUGAUCAGCCACACUGGAACUGAGACACGAUCCAGACUCCUACGGGAGGCAGCAGUGGGGAAUAUUGGACAAUGGGCGCAAGCCUGAUCCAGCCAUACCGCGUGGGUGAAGAAGGCCUUCGGGUUGUAAAGCCCUUUUGUUGGGAAAGAAAUCCAGCUGGCUAAUACCCGGUUGGGAUGACGGUACCCAAAGAAUAAGCACCGGCUAACUUCGUGCCAGCCGCCGCCGUAA